GCAAACUUGGUCAUUUAGAGGAAGUAAAAGUCGUAACAAGGUUUCCGUAGGUGAACCUGCGGAAGGAUCAUUAAAGUGCCAGCGGGUCCGGUAGUGGUGUGUCCCCUAAACGGGCGCCCACGCCGGCUCACUACAGGCCCCACACUUGUCUACUUACCACGUUGCCUCGGCGGAUCGCCCCUCGCGGGGGGUCGGGGGGUUCACACCCACUGGCCAGCGUCCGCCCGAGGACUGUUCAAACCACUGUCAUCAGCGUUUGCAGUCUGAGCGAUUUACUAAAUAAAUCAAAACUUUCAACAAUGGAUCUCUUGGUUCCGGCAUCGAUGAAGAACGCAGC
rnacentral:misc_RNA from 1 species